AGUUGUUCUCAGUUCGGAUUGUAGUCUGCAACUCGACUACAUGAAGCUUGAAUCGCUAGUAAUCGUAGAUCAGCAUGCUACGGUGAAUACGUUCCCGGGUCUUGUACACACCGCCCGUCACACCACGAGAGUUUGUAACACCCGAAGCCGGUGGAGUAACCUUUUAGGAGCUAGCCGUCGAAGGUGGGACAAAUGAUUGGGGUGAAGUCGUAACAAGGUAGCCGUAUC
rnacentral:rRNA from 1 species